rnacentral:rRNA from 1 species
UACAGAGGUCUCAAGCGUUGUUCGGAUUCAUUGGGCGUAAAGGGUGCGUAGGUGGCGCCGUAAGUCAGGUGUGAAAUUUCGGAGCUUAACUCCGAAACUGCAUUUGAUACUGCGGUGCUUGAGGACUGGAGAGGAGACUGGAAUUUACGGUGUAGCAGUGAAAUGCGUAGAGAUCGUAAGGAAGACCAGUGGCGAAGGCGGGGUCUCUGGACAGUUCCUGACAGCUGAGGCA